GAUAAACGCUGGCGGCGUGCCUAAUACAUGCAAGUCGAGCGAACGGACGAGAAGCUUGCUUCUCUGAUGUUAGCGGCGGACGGGUGAGUAACACGUGGAUAACCUACCUAUAAGACUGGGAUAACUUCGGGAAACCGGAGCUAAUACCGGAUAAUAUUUUGAACCGCAUGGUUCAAAAGUGAAAGACGGUCUUGCUGUCACUUAUAGAUGGAUCCGCGCUGCAUUAGCUAGUUGGUAAGGUAACGGCUUACCAAGGCAACGAUGCAUAGCCGACCUGAGAGGGUGAUCGGCCACACUGGAACUGAGACACGGUCCAGACUCCUACGGGAGGCGGCAGUAGGGAAUCUUCCGCAAUGGGCGAAAGCCUGACGGAGCAACGCCGCGUGAGUGAUGAAGGUCUUCGGAUCGUAAAACUCUGUUAUUAGGGAAGAACAUAUGUGUAAGUAACUGUGCACAUCUUGACGGUACCUAAUCAGAAAGCCACGGCUAACUACGUGCCAGCAGCCGCGGUAAUACGUAGGUGGCAAGCGUUAUCCGGAAUUAUUGGGCGUAAAGCGCGCGUAGGCGGUUUUUUAAGUCUGAUGUGAAAGCCCACGGCUCAACCGUGGAGGGUCAUUGGAAACUGGAAAACUUGAGUGCAGAAGAGGAAAGUGGAAUUCCAUGUGUAGCGGUGAAAUGCGCAGAGAUAUGGAGGAACACCAGUGGCGAAGGCGACUUUCUGGUCUGUAACUGACGCUGAUGUGCGAAAGCGUGGGGAUCAAACAGGAUUAGAUACCCUGGUAGUCCACGCCGUAAACGAUGAGUGCUAAGUGUUAGGGGGUUUCCGCCCCUUAGUGCUGCAGCUAACGCAUUAAGCACUCCGCCUGGGGAGUACGACCGCAAGGUUGAAACUCAAAGGAAUUGACGGGGACCCGCACAAGCGGUGGAGCAUGUGGUUUAAUUCGAAGCAACGCGAAGAACCUUACCAAAUCUUGACAUCCUUUGACAACUCUAGAGAUAGAGCCUUCCCCUUCGGGGGACAAAGUGACAGGUGGUGCAUGGUUGUCGUCAGCUCGUGUCGUGAGAUGUUGGGUUAAGUCCCGCAACGAGCGCAACCCUUAAGCUUAGUUGCCAUCAUUAAGUUGGGCACUCUAAGUUGACUGCCGGUGACAAACCGGAGGAAGGUGGGGAUGACGUCAAAUCAUCAUGCCCCUUAUGAUUUGGGCUACACACGUGCUACAAUGGACAAUACAAAGGGCAGCGAAACCGCGAGGUCAAGCAAAUCCCAUAAAGUUGUUCUCAGUUCGGAUUGUAGUCUGCAACUCGACUACAUGAAGCUGGAAUCGCUAGUAAUCGUAGAUCAGCAUGCUACGGUGAAUACGUUCCCGGGUCU
rnacentral:rRNA from 1 species